rnacentral:rRNA from 1 species
GCCUACGGGACGCAUCGGUGAGGAAUAUUGGUCAAUGGACGAAAGUCUGAUGGAGCAACGCCGCGUGAGUGAAGAAGGGUUUCGGCUCGUAAAGCUCUGUUGGUAGUGAAGAAAGAUAGAGGUAGUAACUGGCCUUUAUUUGACGGUAAUUACUUAGAAAGUCACGGCUAACUACGUGCCAGCAGCCGCGGUAAUACGUAGGUGGCAAGCGUUGUCCGGAUUUAUUGGGCGUAAAGCGAGUGCAGGCGGUUCAAUAAGUCUG